UUCCAUCAGUUUCAGGUUGUUGGUAGAGGUGUACCUACGGAGUCAGAUCCAGUGACACACGAUGGUAUAUCAAGUUUUAUGGUAUUAACCCUAAAAAAAUAUAGACAUCAUUGUUGUAGGCAUUUUGGGCUGUAAUCUGCUAGAAUAUGUAGGCAUCAUUUGUUAUGAUAUACAACACAUUGGAGUUUUUAUCGACUUGCAAGUUGGCGAACCUAAUAGUAAAGGCGGAGCUGGGGUGUUGCUUGCUUCACAGGAGCGGUAGACUGAUCAUCGAAGUCUGCAAUCUACAAUGUGAAUCCAACCCUUUCUAUCUCUCCUAUGUUAUUAUCACCACCGCUGGUGGCUGUGAGGCGGCUUUGUCAUCCAAUGCAUAGAAGAAUGGUGACAGUGUGUGUUUCUAAAACUCGAAUCAAAGGUGGCGCAAAAGCAGCUUUGACUAGCGAAUGUUAUCAAUAAUUUCUCUGCCUCAAACUGUAGUUUUUAUUAAUGAUUUAUUGCUAGAAAAAACAAAUUUUUUUUCUACUUUGGAAUGUCUAUAAUAGUAGUGGUGGUGUUUCUUUUUUCUUUUUUGUACUUCCUGAAGUAUAUUUGGAGAAACCUGAUGCUUAUAUAAUUGAUAUGCCUUAGUUGAA